CAGUAGCCGCGGUAAUACGAGGGGGGCAAGCGUUGUUCGGAAUUAUUGGGCGUAAAGGGUGCGUAGGCGGCUUGACAAGUCUUGUGUGAAAUCUAUGGGCUCAACCCAUAGUCUGCACGGGAAACUGUCGGGCUUGAGUAUUGGAGAGGUGAGUGGAAUUUCCGGUGUAGCGGUGAAAUGCGUAGAUAUCGGAAGGAACACCUGUGGCGAAAGCGGCUCACUGGACAAUAACUGACGCUGAUGCACGAAAGCUAGGGGGGCAAACAGGAUUAGAUACCCCUGUAGUCCCUGUCUCUUAUAC
rnacentral:rRNA from 1 species